GAUUGAUUCUCUCUCUCUGCUUGGAGAGUUGGUGAUCAGUGCUGAGGGACCCCGUAGUCCAGGAAUUUAUUUUUUUAAGCUAUAUUAUAUUUAAAAGUUCAGAAGGACAAAGAUGACAACUUAGGUAACAAACACUUGUUAGAAAGGGCGGUCCACUCUGAUUAAUAGUAAUCAGUCCAACAAAACAAACCAAACCAAUCCACCCAAAACCAAGCCCACAUUAAUAAACCCAACCCCUAAACCUAAAAUCCCUAGGUGGAAUAAGAGGGUGUAAGCACAGAAGCUCUGUGACCACCAUCUACAGUUGCUACCACCACAGACGUGCCGAGCGGAUCGAAGCCAACAACACUAAUCAGCAACACAAGGAGCACACUAAGAUGAUCCAUCCACUCGCAGCAUCUCAAGGAACAAUAUUUGCAUGCUAACUUCCGCAACAAGGACAUUUACACAUAGCUACAUGGUUAAGAGGGCCGUUGCAAAGCUUUGACUCACGAUGCCAAGGGCAUGACCUUUUCAACCAUAGUGUAGAAGCAGAUCCCGGAGAUACAGACUGGUUAAAGCAACUGAAACCCACUCAACUAGUAUAGCCACCCAAUUGAGUCUAACGCUUGACAAGGACCAGUAAGCAAGAAAUGAAACUUUUCUCCAAGAGACCGCCAUGCAUCAUCUUUUCGCUGAACACAAACUCCGAUCUAACUCUGAAGAUCCAACCUGCAAACAAAGAUCAAAACCAAACAUCGACAUGCAAAGAUUCAUGUACAAACUAACACAACUAGGGGAGGGCUUGCCGCUAGAAGUUAGAAACCAAAAUCAAAACCCAAAAGCCUUCUCCUGCUCGAAGGCAAAAAGGAAACUAAGAAGGAGACGAUCAGAGACUCAACGAACUGAGAGAGCUGAAGCGACGAAACCAGAAAUGAGAGAAUUUCUCUCUCCUAAACAAAGAGAGAAAAUGCUAUAUUGAACGUAAUAUCCAUGGAUUUUUCUGGUUCUCUGUUCUUACUCAUUCAUUAGCUUUAUUGGGUUCUCCGCCAAAUAUGAUACAUACACAAGACAUCCAUGGCCUAUAGCUAUAGACCAAUAAGUCAUGUUGUACUUUUACCUUCGAUUAUUGGACCCAACUUUUUUAUUUUGUGAUUGGGCACUGCCUUUUACUUUUA
rnacentral:misc_RNA from 1 species